GAGAGUGAAAUAAGCUGUGAGGGUCCAUGUUGAUACCUAUAUUAAGAGGGAGCUGAGAGCAGGAGAGGGAUUUUUGGGUCCACGUUUAGUGGAAGACCAUGUGGGCAAAUUAAAUUCAAGUUUGUUAUUGGACCCUUUCUAUAUUUUCUUGAGCAGAGGGAUGCUCAUGAAGUUCCUCCUCUAAGGCCCUUGGACUGGAAGGUGUGGCUUCCUAGGACCCAUCCAGGCUGGUGGGUUUGAAGGGUGAGGCACUUGGCUUGCCUGAACACACCUGUGUAAAAGCACCUGGAGAUAUUCUGGCACCUGAAGGAGAACUGGGUGAGGCAUUGUACUUCAGGGUGUUACACAGGAAAUGCAGAGUGAAGGAAGCGAAGACCUGAGCACAGCAUUUGGCCUCCUCUCCAACUCCCAGGAUGUGACCUCCAGAAUCUGCUGCUAAACAACGCCGAUAUCACAGAAAAGGGAACUGGCUCUGCCACUUCAGAACCAGCACAGGAUUUGCAAGGUUAGUAUUGCUGUGGGGCAGAAGGCUGGUUUAUGGCAACGUGGCUGAUUAUUUUGGAUACCUACAUGAAAUAGAUUCCUGUUAUUUGCUGAAGUAAGGGAAUGCUGGCAGUAUCAAGUUCUUUACAUGAGGACUGACAUGACUAGAUGCUCCUUUGAAGAUUUAAUUCACUGUGUUGGAGGAACAGUCCAGCCACUCUGGGAACAAAACUAGUCUGGACAGCCCUUCCCCAGCUGUGUGACUGCACUGGCUCUGAACCCUCUGAGAUCUGCCUGACUACAUUUUAUAAGGUGUGUGAUGAUGCCUCGUGUUAGGAAGAGGAGCAUUACUGCUGAAGGGCUUGGAAGACAACAAAUUGGUGCUGAUUAGAACAUUAUUUUCUGUUUGGAAAAUAGAACCAGAAGAACAACAAAACCAGAAAAAACAUCUUCGACUCAAAAUGUCAGAUAAAACCAACAUUACACUCACCAAUAUUUAUAGCUGCAGUGCUUCAGGUUUCAAGUAGAGAUGAAAUGGAAAAAAGCCCUGGACUGAAGGAAAUCAAGAAGGGAAACCAGUUCUGUGGGUCUGGCCAAACACCAGGCACCCACCACAGCUGCUCACUCACCCUCUCCUGCCACAGCUGGGCAGAGGAGAGAAGAAAAAAUUAAACUGAGGAGUCAUGAGUUGAGAUGGGAACCGGGAGAAAACACUCUAAGGGCAAAAGAGGCUCAACCUAGAAGUACAAAGUUUAUUAUUAACAAAACCAUGAGGAGGAUAAUAAGAAGAAAAACUUUAACCAGAUUAGAAGUAAAGGGCAACUUCUGACUUGGAGUGGAAUUUCAGAUCUGAAUAGGAGAAGAUCUGGAGACAAGAUGAUUUGUAACAUCCAUUCCAAGCCCUUAGCAUUCCAUGAUAAUGUAGCAUCUCCAGAAGUGUUAAAUUUUAGUAGAGGGUAUAAACUGUACCUUGGAGCACUUUUCAAUGAGGAAAUUAUUAUUUGUGUUUCAAUAAGGAAGGAGGCUUUUUUUCUCAGCAGUAUUUCAACUUUAAACAAAGCUGCAGAAUUUAGUAAUUUAGUAAAAACCAUGCCUCUCAGAUAUCAGAAGUUUCGGGAAUUGAUUAUGGAAGAAAUGAGGAUAAAUGAAUUGUGAGUUGGCCAUGAAUUUUCAAGAGCAAAGGGAGGCUGUCCUCUCCUCCAAGUACAUUUAACUCUCAUAAGGGCUGAUUCCUUGCACAGAAUCAAUAAACCAGGCCGCCUGAAACAAGGAAGUUUCCUGUAAAGGGAAGAAAAUGGGUCUUGUUUGGACCUUCUGUCUGCUAGUUUUUUUUCUGAAACAAAUUUUCUGUAUGAUGAACCACAAAUUGCUGGUGCUGGUUUACCUGGAGAUUGUGAUACUGGAGAGCUGCCUCAACAUCUGAUGAGAGUGACAUCAGUAAAGAUGUAAAUCAAUGAUGGUGCCCAUCUAUCUAAAACUGCAAGCUGCCCUAAACAGAAUCACAGAAAACGUUGUUUUAGAAGGUGAUAUUUCCAAAGUGUGGAAAUCCAGACCCCAUAGUUCUUUGGUAUACCUGGAACAUGACAGCCCUUAAUCCCAGGUGGCUUUGUCAAACAAGUGACAAGGCAGGUAUUUUGAGGACCAAGGUGGUGAAAGGCAGGGCAUGUGUAGCUGUGGCUGUGCAGCAUUUCCCUUGGAAUCCGAGGAACUUGUCACCAGCGCAGGUCCUACACUUCCUCUCCAAAGCUCUGCUUUUGUGCCCUAGUCAAGCUUAGCUUAAUUUCAGCCAAGCAGAAGAACAGACCGAGUGAAGGCGUGACACUGGGCAGUCCAACCAGCCCCUGGUUUGGGUUUGCCUACAGCAGACUGCAGUCACUGCAAGAAUACAGGAGAAAGAAAAAUCAGAUUCUAAAUCCCUGAAACUGGUUUUUAUGUUCCUACAACAUAAACACAAGACAUCUGGAUAUUUCCUUUUUUCUCUGAGCAGUUUCUAAUGCUACAGAUAGCUUACUUCUACACUGAACCAGGCAGUGGGGAAAACGUUGCUCAAAAACAAGAAAUUGUGCCCACAUUUGCUUCAAACAAAAAGUAGUGGUGGAAAUGUGUGCUCACCUGUCUCUCUAAAAGGCUGACCUGAGUUUCAGACUCCAGCACACUUUUCCCAUGUGUGCUCUACACUGUGAAUAUGAAGAGCUAUGAGGUUUUUGGAGGACACAUGAGAAAUGCUCUGUUUAGAGGAUUUAUCUCCACGAGAAGAGCAGCUUUGUUUCAACACCAUCACUUCCCCACUUCCCCCAGACCAGAAGAGAGAAUCCAGUGGUUCUGUUCUUUGGUUGGGAAAAAUGCCAACAGAAGAAAGAACUGCCUGUUUGCCCUGGCAAUGGGAGUGGAGGGAAGAAGGGAAAAACAUAAAAAAUAUCAAUAACUAGACAAGAUGACACCAAUCAGAGUGAAGAAAAGAUGAGAAAUACUUUAGAUUCUGUGUCUGAAACAAUUGCUCAGUGAGUCAAGACUCAAAUGUAAUGAGGAAGGAAGAAUUGCAAGAAGGAAAGAUUUACACAGACACAGUUCAGAAUAAAGCUGAGCAGAACUGCACAGUUUCGAUUCCCAGGAAUUUCUUCAAAACUGUAAUUUGACUUUGACUUUGUGAGAAGAUAUACCUGCUGACUCUAACAUUUGAUGAAAGUCAAAGCAAAAGUGCUAAACUUCAAGGUGCAUGAUGGCAAAACUAAGGGUCUGAAAUGUGACCUGAACAUCCUCUGUCUUUGGAGGAGAAAGGAGGGAAAAUGAAAGUUUUUUUGCUGAUUUCUGGAACACUAUGCCCAGCUCUUCAGCUCUUGGCACUUACACUGCUGCCUGGCUAGCUUAACACAUUACUGAUUCUCUUUUAUAGUCCUUUUCCAGAGUUGUGAGUGACUAAACAAGUCCCAGAGAAUCAUGUCCUAUAUCUUACUUGGAUAUUAAACUGUUGGAAAGAGUAGGGAGAAGAGCUGCCGUAACUGUGCAAGGACUGGAAAUACUGCCUUGCAGCAGCAUGUUAAAGUGGAAAUACCAGCUCUUUAAACAGAUUAAAGAUUAUUUGAUUACAGUGUGUAAAUUCCUUCUGGAAGAUACUGAUAGAAGUGGUACCUGAAGUAAGAGAAACAAUCCAGGGGCAGGUAGAUAAAUGUACACAUAUUCAGAUUAGAUUGUUAAUAUUCAUAUUAACAAUCCCUUCAUCUUGGGAAUUAGAAUAGCAAGGAAAAAAAUAGACUAGAGUGUUGGAGUCAUGCCUGUGUGUGGUUGUGCAUUCUGGCCUUCAGCCAAGCAGAAAUCAGUCCCACUUUAGGGGUGUUUGGGUGAAUUAGUACAAGAGGUCACACCAGGUGAUUCUCAGUUGGUUUUGGGUCUUGGCAUUGGCUGCUUGACAAUCCUGGCUUUGUCCUGCCUCCAGCCCUGAAGUGAGGUUUUGGAGUGUUCCUUACAUCUGGAAAUACCUGAAGGAAAUUUCAAGAUGAGUGAUAGAAGUGGUCAGAAACUGUCUUUGAUGAAAAGAUCUCUCUUCAAAGAAAAGGUGUUUUUUGCAGGAAAAAAAACCCCUCCUUCCUUCUGCAGAUAGUUUUUUAUUUUUUUGGUUUUGAGUUUACAUCAGGAAAUCCAAGGCCAAAUUAUUUAUUUUUGAGCUUGUUGGACCAGAAAAAAAAAAUAGUCUCAGAAACUGAGAUGUCAAAAAUCUCAGUAAUGAGCCAGAUCAAUAUUAUUGUUUGGUUUGUUGUGGUGGUAUCCUUAGGGAUUCUCCCUUGUCCUAAUUCAUUCCCAUCCCAACUUGUGGAGCUGAUGGAUUAUUUGUCUAUAAAUGAGCCAGAUUUCUUCUGGAAGCAAGAACUGUGGUGCAGUGUGGGAGUUCUGUGGUGUCUCAUGGAAGCCUCAUCCCUGCAGAGAGCACAGGAGAAAAGAACAAGCAUGCCAAGGAAUAAUUUAUCAGGAGUGUCUGUGCUGUGGUGUUUAUGAUCAGCUGAGAUAUUAUUGAGAAAAAAAAAAAGCAAAGCAAUUUUCCUUCUUUCCACUAUUAUCAUCUUUACUUUUAUCUCCUCUAAGCUCUGUUUUACUUUUUAUCAGUCAUGUUGAACACUGGUAAGAUUCUUCUUCAGCCAACCUCAGGCACUCAUUUUCAGGAAAUUAACUUGGCAUUGUAACAGCUCUUAACAUCUGUGACUCUUGACUUGCAGAUAGUUGAAUAAAGGAGCUAGGCAAGCUUUAAUUUAUUGCCAAUAAAUUCCUGAUUUUUUUUUUUUUUUAAACUAGGACUUAACAGUUUGAUUUUCCCUUAAUUAUAUACAGCCUGUUUUGGGUAUGAAAAUAACAUGAGGGGUAUAAUAUGUUUUGUACUACAACAGCUUUCAAACAGGCCAAAACAGAACAUCCUCAUAUUUCCAGAAAAAAAAAGUCCCUGCUGGUAUAAAGAUAUUUUGUUUCCUUUUUAGACUGGUGCUGGUAAAGCUCUUGCUGUGAAAUUUGAAGUGGAUGUAAGUUUCUAGGAAUAUUUGCUGCAGAACAGAUGUGCUCUUCUUUACCCUCCUAGUGCCAGUUCGGCAUGAAAUUCACCUGUGUUUACAUCAGAGUAAAACAAAGUACCCCUGGGAGAAAAGCUACCAACCAAGCAUGUUUUUACAGAACAGUGAUACCGUGAUGAAAACACUUUUGUAGCCAAGGAAGAGGUCUUCUGCACUACAAGUGUGCUGCUGAUGUGAGGGACCUCCAGGGAGUUCUGCAGUCCUUGGUUUGCUUUGUUUUGAUGCUGUGGGGGAAGAACCUUCAGCUUUGGUUUAGGCUUUGGUGUGCACUGUCCUGUUCAAUAACCAGAAAGAGAGAGAUAGUGGCAUUUUGGCAUUUUCACCCUUUUGUCUUUCU